GGGAAAGUUCUACUGAGCUUUGUGAUGCUCAUGGGAAUUGGGGCAGUCUGUUUCCCUGGCAGCUGCAUUCUUAGGAAACUCCCUCAGAGGAGUGCUUAAUGGCGCUGUAUUUUCUGGAGGCUCUGUUUUCAGGUGUUUAUUGAGCAUCUUGUCUGUACCAGGAACUGCAUAAGGCUUUAAGCCUAUGGUAAUGAGCCUCUUGCCGGAUUCACUACCUCUUCUUAUCAGAGGGAGAAUCUAGCAUCGAAGCUGAGGACUGCACAUCGCAUUAUCAAGGACAAAGUUAAUUAAAACUAACGCGCUCCAAGAAACGUGACCUCUGUA